UUCUCCACCUAAGAUAUUUAUUAACGUCUCUCUGCCCAUUCCAUCUUCUCUGACCGCUCUCUCCAUCUCUAUCAAACCUAUUUUACUGUUAGAUCUUAAGUUGGGAAAUAUAUAUCACUUGUAAUCACGACUUUAGCAAUUACGGAAAAGCCAUCGCUUCGUUUUUUCAGGUAGAUGCUGAAAGUCGGCAUGGAUGUGAAUAUGAAUUUAGUAUCUCCUUGCUGAUGCUUUUGCAAUGCAUAUUGAUCCAGCUUUUAGUUACUUGAGCUUGGAGAAAUUGCAUGAAAAAGCUUAACAAAGUGAAUGGCUACUGUUAUUGAGUUCGCUCUGAAAUUGGGACCUACAACAACAACAACAACAACAACAUCCCAGUGAAAUUGGGACCUACAUAUAGAAACACAGAAGACUGCAUCAAGUUGGUACAAGAGUAGGACAGAUGACAAUCCUAGACAACAAAAGACUCAAACAUAUAUAAUGUUUUAAGCUCAUAAAUCUGAGACUAUGUCUGAUGAAGAUUGGGAUCUCGAGCACCAACAAGUAUGUGGAUACCUACGACAAAGGGUUGAAGACAAUGUUCGCAACCAUAUUGUGGAUGGACACAUGCAAGAUCAUCGUGGGAAAAGCUAGAGAGUGUUUAUGCUUCAAAAAUUUAAAAGUUGUUCCUGCUAAAAUAAUUGAUGACCUUUAAAUACAAGGAGGAUAGUCAUAUUCUUGAUCAUAUAAAUAAUUUUCAGUGUCUUUGAUCAGCUGUCUGGAAUGUGAGUUAAAUUUGAUGAUAGAUACAAAGACUUUGGCUUCUUGAGAAACUUUUCGUGUUUCUUUGACAAAUUCAACUCCUAGUGUUGAGGUGACCAUGGAAUAUGCGAAGUGUAUUGUGUUGAAUGAGGAAGUAAGGAGAAGAUAUUAGUGUUCGUUCUCACAAGCAGAUGUUUUGGUUAUAGAAGAUCGGAGGAGAGAUAGAACAAGGGUUCGAGGAAUAGAGGUAGAAGCAGAAGUAAGUCAAGGUCCAAAUACCAAAAUUAUUCGUGCAAUCAUUGUGGCAAGAAAGGACAUAUCAAAAGGUUCUGCCACAAGUUGAAGCAAGACACUAUAGAAGGAAAGAAAGUUAAAAAUAACGAGAAGAAUAUUUCUGCUAUUGUUCGAGAUGACUUUCUUUUUGCUUAUGAUGAGAACGUCAUCAAUUUGGUAUCCCAUAAGACGAGCCGGAUAUAUAGUAGAUUCUGGAGCUAUCACAUGUCACACCAAGAAAUGACUUUUUCGCAUCUUAUACUCCUAUUGACUCUGGAGUGUAGAUGGACAAUGCUAGUGAAAUUAAGGUGUUUGAUGCUUGCAAAGUUUGUCUGAAAACUAAUAAUGGUUCAACGUUAGUACUUCAGAAUGUCAAGUAUGCUCUAGACUUUCCUUUCAAUUUGAUAUCCGCGGGAAGAUUAGAAGAUGAAGGUUACCAUAAUGCGCUAUUUAAUGUCUAAUGGAAGCUCAUCAAGGGCUGAUUAAUAGUAGCUCGAGGAGCCAAGUCUUCUCAUUUAUAUGUGACACAUAGCUCUAUUUUUAAUGACUCCAUAAAUUUGGUAAAAAGUGACACUUUAUCAGCAUUGGCAUAAAAGACUGAGUCAUAUGAGCGAGAGAGGGAUUACGUGUUUGGCGAAGAAAGUUUAUUUUUUGGAGUGAAACAAGCGAAGCUGAAAAGGUGUGUCCAUUGUUUAUCUGGCAAAUAGAAAAGGGUUUCUUUUCAUAGUCAUCCUCCUUCAAAAAAUCCUGAAUUAUUGGAGCUAGUACACUCUGAUUUGUGUGGUCCUUUUAAAGUAAAGUCAAAAGGUGGUGCACUUUACUUUGUGACCUUCAUUGAUGAUCAUUCUCGCAAGCUCUAGGUAUAUCCUUUAAAAUCCAAAGAUUAAGCAUUUAGCAUGUUUAAGGAAUUUCAUGCCUAAUUAGUUGAGAGAUAGACAGGGAAGAAAUUAAAAUGUAUUCGCAUGUCAAUGGUGGUGAAUAUUGUGUACCCUUUGAUAAUUAUUGCAGAGAGCAGAGAAUUCAUCAUCAGAAAACUCCGCCCAAGAUGCCUCAAAUGAAUGGUUUGGCAGGGAGGAUGAAUAAAACUCUAGUUGAGGGAGUUAAAUGCUUUCUUUCAGAGGCUAAACUUUCAAAUAUAUUUUGGGCGGAAGCACUUAAAACUUUUGCUUAUGUUAUCAAUUUAUCUCUUACUGUUACUUUGGAUGGUGAUAUCCUAGAGUUUGGUUUGCCAAAGAUGUUUCUUAAUGAUCACUUGAGAGUUAUUGGGUAUAAAGCUUGUGUGCAUGUUCCUAAAGAUGAGAGACUAAAGCUGGAUUUCAAAACUAAGCAGUGCAUCUUUAUUGGUUAUGGUCAAAAUGAGUUUGGGUAUCAUUUUUAUGAUUCAGUUGAUAAUAAACUUAUUAGAAGUCGUGAUGCAUUAUUCUUUGAAGACCAAACUAUUGAAGAUAUUGACAAGGAUGAGAAUAUAGAUUCUCAGAGUAAUGAGAGCUUAGUUGAUAUUGAUCCAAAAUCUAUUGCUAAGGCGCUUAUUGCACAUGAAGGAACCCAGGACAAUAAUAAAGAUAGUGGUCAAGAUAAAAUAAUCAUCAGAGUGUAGAUG